UGGGGAAUAUUGCGCAAUGGGCGAAAGCCUGACGCAGCGACGCCGCGUGUGGGAUGAAGGUCUUCGGAUUGUAAACCACUGUCGGGAGGGACGAAGCUCUGACGGUACCUCCAAAGGAAGCACCGGCUAACUCUGUGCCAGCAGCCGCGGUAAUACAGAGGGUGCGAGCGUUGUCCGGAAUCACUGGGCGUAAAGGGCGCGUAGGCGGCUUGAUAAGUAGGGGGUGAAAUCUCAUGGCUCAACUGUGAGGCUGCCUUCUAGACUGUCUGGCUUGAGCACAGUAGAGGCGAGUGGAAUUCCCGGUGUAGCGGUGGAAUGCGUAGAGAUCGGGAAGAACAUCGGUGGCGAAGGCGGCUCGCUGGGCUGUUGCUGACGCUGAUGCGCGAAAGCGUGGGGAGCAAACAGG
rnacentral:rRNA from 1 species